rnacentral:rRNA from 1 species
UACAGGGGGUGCAAACGUUGCUCGGAAUCAUUGGGCGUAAAGCGCACGUAGGCGGUUCGUUAAGUCGGAUGUGAAAGCCCUCGGCUCAACUGAGGAAGUGCACCCGAAACUGGCGAGCUUGAGUACGAAAGAGGAUCGCGGAAUUCCCGGUGUAGAGGUGAAAUUCGUAGAUAUCGGGAGGAACACCGGUGGCGAAGGCGGCGAUCUGGGUCGAUACUGACACUGAGGAGCGAAAGCGUGGGGAGCGAACAGG